rnacentral:sRNA from 1 species
GGAAAAUGCGGCGCCCCCUCCUCCUCCCUGGGGUGUCGCAACCAUAGCAGCCGCCCCUCCUCCUCCCUGGGCGGAUGUUGAAAACGGACGGCGACACCCCUCCUCCUCCCUGGGUGUCGCCGUUUCC